GCGCCGGCGGCGGGCGCGGGCGGCGAGCGCUGCGGGCCGUGCCAGGCGCCGCGCGCCGCCUGCCUGUGCCGGGACGACGGGAAAAAAGCGUGGGAAUUCGAGGAGGGCCGCUGGGUGUGCGGGUUCCCGGACGCGGCGUUCGCGCUGGCCGCCAGCCUGCUGCAGCCGCUGCCGGCCGCGCGGCCCUCCGCUGCCGCCGCGCUGCAGCACCCCUUCUUGGCGCGCGACUGGGGCCGCCCGCCCGCUGCCGGCCGCUAGCCCCAGCCUGCUGCAGCCGCUGCCGGCCGCUAGUCCCAGCCUGCUGCAGCCGCUGCCCGCCGCUAGUCCCAGCCUGCUGCAGCCGCUGCCGGCCGCGCGGCCCUCCGCCGCCGCCGCCGACACACGCUAGCCGCCUCUGUCUCUCCUUUACACAACAAAAGAGACGUAAAACAUGAUUCUGACCGCUUCGAUACGAUUGUAGGAUCGCGUUCGACGACUUCUGUGCUUGACUCGAUUAAGAGGACCAGUGUCAUAUUUAUGGUUCGUCGAUCGAACUUGGACCCUGUGCUUUUAAGCUUGCGCUGCAGAUAGAAAAGUGACGCGACGCGAUGUGCUGCCUUAACCCUUAACCAGGCUCUGGUAUCCACAGAGCCCACAUCAAUUUGAACUUUAUGCCGUGAAGAUACAAUUGAAAAUCAAUAACUUUUUUUAGGCCUGGUUAAGGGUUAAAUCAUCAUCACACCUUCAAUAACUACAGAGUUGGUGAUGCUGAGUACAUCAAUGAAAUUUUAUGCUGUGGUAAAUUAAGAUCUAUAUUAAUAAUAAUAAGCAACAUUAUCGGUCUUCCAUGCCACUCUACAGUCUAAUGCAAAUGAGGUAUUUGAAACAUCUUAUUUUAUUUAAUCAUUUACGUACAGUCACCAUUCAUUAAUUCGAAUGUUUAAUUUCAAAAUAUUGAUGAAUUGGUCAUGUCAUGAUUGAGACAGCACAUGAAUUUAGUAUAAAAAUGAUAUAUGCAAGUUUGCUUCUUCUUGUCGGUAUAAAUUACACACAGCUGCCACUCAGCUUUGAUUUUUUGGUUACCCCGUUAGUCUUAGUUAAAGAGUAUUAUUCUAUUUAUCACAUAUCGCCCUAGUGUAGUAAUACUAUACAUUUAAAUAAAGAGCUCGCCUAAAUCUUACAAACUGAACAAUGAACAAGUGUUGCCAAAGUAAGUUAAUAUUUUAGGGUGUAACUUAAUUCUGUGAUCUGUUGUCUCUUUUUCUCGUUCAUAAAUGUUAUUUUCAUUUUACAAUUUUAUAAAUGCUUUGUGUAAUGUUUUUCAAAGACUAACAGUAAUAAUACACAUUGGAUCCAAUUCUGUGAAGCCAAUCUUAUUUAAAUAUAUUGAGCUUUAGAACUCAUUGUAGACUACUCUACGUAGGCGUAUUGUAACCAAUGUGCAUUUUAUUGUGCAGCUCUAGUCGGGCUCCUCACUGAAGGGACGCUCGACCUACGCGUCCACUCUUGCGCAUAGGAUCUCAAUUAUUUAUUGUAAAGAGUACAAAGUAGUUUAGUAACCGAGCCUGUAGCAUGAGUAAAUUGCACCAACAGUAAACCUAAGGUAAAUUUUAUCAGCGCUACUCCUGUUUUAGGAAAUAAUGAGAAUUUAUAAACAAGUGUACAGAAGCUUGAUUUCAAAAUUAUUCCUGCUACAGGCCAAGACUUUAUCUUAAGCCGCCCGGCACUAGCUGACCUUAAAUUGUUAUUAAGUGCCUUCAAGCUGUGUUCAGAAUUAAGAACUUUUGUUACCAUUGUUAACCAAUAAAUUAAUAACAUACCUGUUA